GAUGAACGCUGGCGGCGUGCCUAAUACAUGCAAGUCGAGCGAACUGACGAAGAGCUUUCUCCUCUGACGUUAGCGGCGGACUGGUGCGUAACACGUGAAUAACCUACCGAUAACACUGGGAUAACUUCGGGAAACCGAUGCUAUAACCGGAGAACUUGUAAAACCGCAGGGGUAAAUCUUGCAAUAGGCUUUGGCUGUCACUUAUAGAUGGUUCCGAGCCGCGUUAGCUAGUGGGUAAGGGAAAGGCUCACGAAGGCGACGAUGCGUAGCCCACCUGAGAGGGUGAUCAGCCACCCUGGAACUGAGACACGGACCAAACGACCACGGAAGCGAGCCGUAGGGAAUCUGCCGGCAAGGGCGAAGGCCUGACGGCGAAAGGCCGAGGGAGGGACGAAGGACUUCGGAUCGUAAAACUAUGUUAUUAGGGAAGAAAAAAUGUGUAAGUAACUAUGCCCGUAUUGACGGUACCUAAUCAGAAAGCCACGGCUAACUACGUG
rnacentral:rRNA from 1 species